CAAGCUGUGAUGGGGAGGGAAAUAAUAGUACCGAAGUUCCUGAUGUCACACUGCCGAGAAAAGCUUCUAGUGAGAAAACAGCGGCCCGUACCGCAAACCGACACAGGUAGUCGAGGAGAGAAUCCUAAGGUGAGCGAGAGAACUCUCGUUAAGGAACUCGGCAAAAUGACCCCGUAACUUCGGGAGAAGGGGUGCUGAUCAUACGAUCAGCCGCAGUGAAUAGGCCCAAGCGACUGUUUAUCAAAAACACAGGUCUCUGCAAAAUCGUAAGAUGAAGUAUAGGGGCUGACGCCUGCCCGGUGCUGGAAGGUUAAGAGGAGUGCUUAGCGCAAGCGAAGGUACGAAUUGAAGCCCCAGUAAACGGCGGCCGUAACUAUAACGGUCCUAAGGUAGCGAAAUUCCUUGUCGGGUAAGUUCCGACCCGCACGAAAGGCGUAACGAUUUGGGCACUGUCUCAACGAGAGACUCGGUGAAAUU
rnacentral:rRNA from 1 species